rnacentral:rRNA from 1 species
CCAAUAGCGUAUAUUAAAGUUGCUGCAGUUAAAAAGCUCGUAGUUGAAUUUCGGGACCAAUAUGUCGGUCGUGCCUCGGUACGUACUGGCAUCGUUGGUUUCUCCCUUCUGAAGAACCAUGAUGUCAUUCAUUUGGUGUCGUGGGGAAUCAGGACUGUUACUUUGAAAAAAUUAGAGUGUUUAAAGCAGGCUCACGCUUGAAUACAUUAGCAUGGAAUAAUGAAAUAGGACGUUUGAUUCUAUUUUGUUGGUUUCUAGGAUCGACGUAAUGAUUAAUAGGGAUAGUUGGGGGCAUUAGUAUUCAAUUGUCAGAGGUGAAAUUCUUGGAUUUAUUGUAGACUAACUACUGCGAAAGCAUUUGCCAAGGAUGUUUUCAUUAAUCAAGAACGAAAGUUAGGGGAUCGAAGACGUUCAGAUACCGUCGUAGUCUUAACCAUAAACUAUGCCGACUAGGGAUCGGAUGAUGUUAAUUUUUUAAUGACUCAUUCGGCGCCUUACG